rnacentral:lncRNA from 10 species
CUUAGCUUCUGUCUUCUCACCUAUAAAAGGCGAAUUGGCAAGGUCAUCCCCUUUGGCAGGUAAGUAAAUGCGGAGGACAUAGUCCACGUUAAAUAAAUGACAGCGACUGCUGUUUCACUGGUUGUCAUGCCCAUGAGCAAGUCAGUACCUGUUCUCCCCACCAAGGACAAGCUAACCCUGCUACCCAGGUCCUGCUCGUGUCCUGAGCUCCUCCUCAUACGUGCCACCAGACUUGGUUUUGUAUCCUACCUGGGCUUCAGGAGAGAGAAUUAAAAAAAUCAAAUUAGGUAAAAUUGGAGUUAAAUGAUAAUGAUAACUUCUCAGCUACUUCAACCUCAGUUUCUGCCCUUUUUGAACUUGCCAAGCAGUGGAGGUAUCUUAACAGGCCCGUUCUGUGACUGUUACCACUGUUCCCAUUUUAAUGCAGCUAUUUGUGUACUAGGUACCUCUCUCCCAUGAAGCUGUGAACUACUUAAAGCACAAUAAAGAAAGGAAAGAAGGAAGGAAGGAAGGAAGGAAGGAAGAAAGGAAGGAAGGAAACAAGGCAGGCAGGAAGGAAUAAUUAAUGAAUAAUACUGCAUUCAGGAAACUAGACCCAGUAUUUUCAAAGUGACUCAUACCCAGCCAUCCUCUCCUUUGCCAGUUAGCAUUGAUAAUCUCCAAUUGCUCAACCACUUGUUUCUUUUAAUUUUAACAAUCUUACAGCUGAAGCUAUCUAAGAUUUAUUCAGGAGAAUAUAUUUUGUAACACCUCCUUUUUCCUGUAAACAUUGAAGGAAGGUUCGUGAUAUGGACCCUUGGCUGAAAUUUGAAGGUGAAAAAGGACGGCUCCGUUCCUAUUUAUGGUGUGGGAGUGACUUUCCUUCACCACUAGCCUGGGUGAAGUUUAAUGACUGACCAAGAGGGAAGUAAUUCAUUCUUCCUGUCAUCCUAUUUUAUUCCCCUGCCCCUCACCUUGUGCUCUCUUUUCCUGCUCAGCUCCUAUUCUGAUCUUUCUUUGUCAAGGAUGUUUCUCAUGAUUAAGUGCUUAUAUCUUCUUCUCCCCAGCAUAUUUGUUUGGAUAGAUUUAGGACAGAUAAAAUUGCUGAAAAUUGCCUGGUUUCUGUUUUCUCUAGAGAGAAAACCCUGAAAGAUUUUUAGCUAAUGGCAUUAGACCAGUUUCGAUCACUGUAAGAUUCUCUGGCUUUAGUUCUAUAACCCUCCAGAAGUCUAGAUCUUUUUGAUAUUAAAGAAAACAUGCACACUUUGAGUGAGCUACUGAGUUCCAUCGAAUUGUUUCCAUUUUACAGAGACUAAGGACAGGGGACCACUGGGAAGGCACAUAAGGAAACAAAAGGGACUUUGACCCAGAGACUGGACCCUGAGUCUAUAUGAAAUAGGAGGUGGGGCCAAAGUUAAUGGAGAACCUGGACUAACAGCCUCACCACCUUGGAUCACUUUCAGUAACCACCAGGCCUACCUGGAAGUGCAACUCUGGGUCAUGUGGAAGUGAAAACUGCAGUGGUUUGGCCUCCUCUCCAGCCUGUGACUACUGGGAAGACAGGGCACCUGUCCUAUUCACCUUUGUAUCUCUGGUGUCUCACUCAGGAUCCGGCACAGUGCUUGCCAAGGACCUGCUAUGCGCCAGGGGCUGCUGGAGCUGGGAACCUAAUGAUCACAGUGUCAGCCUCUGCCAGCCUUUGUGUGUGUGGCAGGGGUUGUUUUGAGUCCCACCAUCUUCCAUCCCUGAUGCUUGGAGAAGCUGAGGACACACAGGCAGUGCCUGAUCCUCUACUGGGUGUUCAACACUGGCUGCAUUUAUGGAGACCACAGACAAAAGAUGGAAACAGCCUCCACCGGCAUGGGGAUCAGGCAUGGGGCAAACACAGGAGACAAAACAGGAGAAUCUCCCGAGAACACCCUCUGAUCAGCACUCUGCAUGCAAUUUCCAUCUCAGACUCUGUUUCUAGGAAGACUUUCAGGCAGCUGACACUGGACGUGGUUGUGAGUUGCAGGCCCUAAUGAAAAAUUGGAGAGGAAGCAGGUGGCCGGCUGAUGAAAUGAUAACCAGAAGGCCUGUGGGCUUGGGUGGCUGAGGCUGAGGCUACUGAGUGUUGAAGAGAGAGAGGCAGAGGCGCAGGAUGACUCAUCACUGGUUUCAGGCAAACUGUGAAAGCCAGAGCACUUCCUUGGCAGCAUUUAAGAAAACCCCGAUGAUCUGCAGCUGGAAGGCAGGUUGGCUGGAGGACCAGUCUGAACCCUGAGUAGGUUAAGUUCUCAGUCCUUCAGACACAGGGCUCUAAUGGGAAAGAGGUGAGACCCUUACACUUAGGGUGGGAGCCCUGGACAGUUGGGAACCCUGAACACUUACAUGCCCCUGAGUCCCCUGGGCCUGCAGAAAUGGCCUAUUUCUCAUGUCAUGUAGAAGAUUGUAGACUGCUUGAACCUGGGAGGCGGAGCUUGCAGUGAGCCCAGAUUGCACCAUUGCACUCCAGCCUGGGCAACAGAGCGAGACUCGGUCAAAAAAAAAAAAAAAAAAAAGCAAGACUUUCCUUUUCUGAAGAUCAUACAGAGGUCUCAAAUGAGUCUGAAGUCACCUGCCCUAUCUGGACAUUCCAUAGACUACCACUUUUACCCACGACUUCGAUGUGGCAUGCUCAUUGGACCAGAUAAGCAAGCAGUGGCAAGUGGAUUGGAGGUCUUGGAAUAUGAAGGCCUGGCCCUCGUCUCAGCUUGGAAUAAAUCUGAAGGCCCAUCACAGCUUCAGAGAUGCUUGGAGAAGGCUGAGGUCUCCCCUGUAACCUUAUGAGAACCUUGAGUUGUUGAACUCAUUAAUUCUUUGGGACCAUCUUCCUGAUGUUCAAGUUUGUGAAACAGGCUUUCCCUUUAAGAUUUGUUUUCCUCAAAAUACAAGACUAUUGAUGCUUCAGUUUUGAAGUGGAUUCUGCACUCAAGAAAUGUACCAUUGAAGAAUGGGACUGGUAGGAAGGGAAAAAAACUAAAAGGAAACGCAUUUUCGAGUUGCACAUCAUGAUCAGGCACAGAGUCCAGAUACACUUGGAGUAGCAAGCAUCCAUCCUUGUGGAGACGCACAUGAACCAGGACUCUCUGCACCCACCCCUCUCAAGUUUUAUUUUCCGACGGCUGUAAUGUUCCAGGACACCUGCCAUCAUGGAGGGUUAUCCAGCACCUGGAGGAUACCUGCUACCUGGUGAAGGACUUUAGUACGAUGGUCAAGACAAGAACCGUGGAGUCAGAAUGCCUGCAUGCAGAUCUCAUCACCAUGG